rnacentral:misc_RNA from 1 species
GAUGAAGAACGUAGCGAAAUGCGAUAAGUAAUGUGAAUUGCAGAAUUCAGUGAAUCAUCGAAUCUUUGAACGCACAUUGCGCCCGCCAGUAUUCUGGCGGGCAUGCCUGUUCGAGCGUCAUUUCAACCAUCAAGCCCCCGGCUUGUGUUGGGGACCUGCGGCUGCCGCAGGCCCUGAAAACCAGUGGCGGGCUCGCUGUCACACCGAGCGUAGUAGAUUUUCAUCUCGCUCAGGGCGUGCUGCGGGUUCCGGCCGUUAAAAGCCUUAUUUACCCAAGGUUGACCUCGGAUCAGGUAGGAAGACCCGCUGAACUUAAGCAUAUCAAUAAGCGGAGGA